ACGAACGCUGGCGGCGUGCCUAAUACAUGCAAGUAGAACGCACAGUUUAUACCGUAGCUUGCUACACCAUAAACUGUGGGUUGCGAACGGGUGAGUAACGCGUAGGUAACCUGCCUGGUAGCGGGGGAUAACUAUUGGAAACGAUAGCUAAUACCGCAUAAUAUUGAUUAUUGCAUGAUAAUUGAUUGAAAGAUGCUAUUGCAUCACUACCAGAUGGACCUGCGUUGUAUUAGCUAGUAGGUGAGGUAACGGCUCACCUAGGCGACGAUACAUAGCCGACCUGAGAGGGUGAUCGGCCACACUGGGACUGAGACACGGCCCAGACUCCUACGGGAGGCAGCAGUAGGGAAUCUUCGGCAAUGGACGAAAGUCUGACCGAGCAACGCCGCGUGAGUGAAGAAGGUUUUCGGAUCGUAAAGCUCUGUUGUAAGAGAAGAACGGGUGUGAGAGUGGAAAGUUCACACUGUGACGGUAUCUUACCAGAAAGGGACGGCUAACUACGUG
rnacentral:rRNA from 1 species